CUGCACCAACUGAGGGCAUAUAAAGUGGACAUGACAAUCUAUGCCUCCUGCAGUUACUAUCAUGCCCUCUGCAGCAAUAACUUCAGUACUGACCUGCAUUGAGAUAUACAAGAUCCAAACAUUAUAGCCAACAGAUUUGUUAUUGCUUUGAAAAGAAUAAAUCUUGCAUCAAACGUAGAAGAAAUACCCCAACAAUCAUGUUUGCAUCCACACAAUCCAUUACAUCUGGAUUUCCUGCCUUCCCAAUAGCGACAAUAUUUCCUUCUUUGAUACCAAUAUCUGCUUUAUAAAUUCCAGUGUAGUCAAUUAUUACAGCAUUCGUAAUAACUGUAUCUAAGCAACAAGAGGUUGGAUAGCCAGUAGCCUGCCCCAUUCCAUCACGUAA
rnacentral:sRNA from 1 species